rnacentral:lncRNA from 10 species
CUUUGGGCGUUGAUGGUGGCUCUAGCAGGGAAGACAAUGAGAGCAGCUUGAUGGCGUUCAUGGUCAUUUCCUGUAACUAAAAAGAUUGAAAAGAGAAAUCAAUUCUGAUUCUGCUAUUGACUAGCUGUGUGAUCUCAGGAAAUGAAAGCCCAGAGAUGUGAUGAUUUUUAAGAGUUGAACUGAGCUGCAAGCUUGUGGAUCAUGUAAGUGCUAACAGAGGCAGACGGAGAAGGAAGAUCUGUCAUGAAGUGCUACGGUGGGAGGUGCGUCAGCUUGGGGUGGAGGGGUCCCAGGUGGCCCCAGGAGAAGAGGCCUCUGAACAAAGAAGACAAUGCUUGGGUUACGGUGGAAGGGACACGGAAGGGUCUGGAAUGCUGGAAGGAGCCAAGAGCAGAUGCCAUCUUGGUGAUGUGUUUCAUCUUCAGGACCUGAGACCCAUCUGGUCAAAUAUUUGUGUGUAUAUGCAAAAUUUUAGGUCAUUUGUUAAAAGGAGCUCAUGAAUACAUGUCCUUGACUUCCCAGAGAUGGAAAAAACACUUCUCUCCGCCAAAGAACUUCCAAAUAGUGCUUCUAGCCUAUGCUCCUCAUCAGUGUCCAUGUCUCUCAGAUGUCUCUAGUUUUGGUUGAGGAAUGAGGAAAUGUGGUUGCCUCCUUUUAUUGGCUGAUUCGUCUGCUGAGCUCCUAACUUCUUAGCUAAUCUAGGUGAAACCAACCCUUGUCCUGGACCCUGGGCUUUUGUGGAGGACUGUCUUACUGUUCACAAAUACUCCGCCUUUUCCAUGAGAAGCUAAUUUAUCCCUGCCUGUUGAAAUUGGGCAUGGACAAUGACUUGCUUGGUUGUCUAAUAAAAUGUGAGCAGAAAGGAUAUGCGUCACUUCUGAGCCAAAAGUUUUCAGAGCCAGUGCAUGGUUGGCCAUGUUUUCUCUUGCCUUUGUAGGCACACAAUAAAUGUUUGUUGAAAAAAGAUGAAUAAAAGGAAAGAGCCCCAAUUAGGAGCUGGGUUAGCUGAGGCCUAUUCCCAGAGUUUCCACUAACUAGCUGUGGCAUAAUCAUUUGGCUACUCUACUGGCCAUAAAUGGUUCUUUGUUAUUUUGAAAUGGAGUCUCGCUCUGUCACCCAGGCUGGAAUGCAGUGGCAAAGCCUCUGCUCACUGCAACCUCCACCUCCUGGGUUCAAGCGAUUCUCCUGCCUCAGCCUCCCAAGUAGCUGGGAUUAUAGGUGCACACCGACACACCUGGCUAAUUUUUAUAUUUUUAGUAGAGACGGUGUUUCACCAUAUUGGCCAGGCUGGUCUUGAACUCCUGAUCUCAAGUGAUCUGUCAGCCUUGGGCUCCCAAAGUGCAUAAAUGGUUCUUAAGAUUUCUUUUUUUUUUUUUUUUUGAGAUGGGGGAGGGUCUUGCUAUGUUGCCCAGGCUAGUCUUGCACUGUUGGGUUCAGGCCAUACUCCUGCCUCAGCCUUGGAGUAGUUGGGAUUAUAGACGUGAGCCACCAUGCCCAGCUCAGGAUUCUUUCAUUUCUAAAACCCUGUGCAGAUAUUGCAGAAGUAAAGUGAUGAUUUUUGGAUGCUUAUUGGAAGUCUUGUUCAUGCUGGUGAAUGGGGAAAAGACUUUGGGUGGGGGUAGGGAGCACUGAUUGGCAAGUUAUUUUGUGUUUUUAAAACAAAAAUCGCUCUUCAGGGUGGUGCACUAUUCCCAGAUUUUCUCUGGAAGCUGUGUUCCAACACCUUUCUCAGACUUCCCCACACUCCCCCUCAGGACAUCAGAAGGAGGGCCCCCGAAUUCAUUCUUGCAGCAAAGAGCCUCAAGACUCUGCUCAGACCAGGAAAUGAGGGACCUGUUCCUACAAAUUGCUGUCAAAAUGUAUUCUUAAUAUUUGUUCUCUGGAGUCACUGUUUUGGUGACCUCAGUCCCUGGAGGCUCCUCCUGGGGGCGAUAGGAUGCCUUCAGAGGGGAGCUGACAGCCCUGUGUUGUGUCUGGGCUCGCGGGAGGCCAUCGCUGUGUCCAUUGGAGCCAGAUGUUUUCCCAGCCCUUAACCUGCUGUGGUUUCUUAGCUCAACGUCUCCAGUGCGACUCUCCCAUAACACCCAGCGCCAUCUUGUAGACGCGCUCAUGCUUCCGGACCGCGGGCGCCCCACCGGGAAGAGCGCUCCACGCUGAAGAGGAAGGAAACUUCACACUUAAUUCAUCAAAUUCAAACUGAGCUGUGGUGAAAGGAACGGGGCAGAGUGAAAGGAACACCCAUAUGCCCCAGAAGACCCCGGGGCAUCGCUGCCUUUCAGCUUCUUUUGCGCUUUCUGCAGCUCGUGUCACAUUCCAAGGACACUCAGCUCCGCACAUGCACAGAGGGCCGCGUCUGUCCCGGGGGCGUGUUACCUAAAACCAGGCGCUGACCUCCAGGUCAGGAACUCUUGAGUAUUUAAUCUCUCCGCCGUUCAUGGCUACCCGGGUGGCCUCUGAAAUAUUACUUAAUGUCUCUGGGUUCUGAUUUCCUCAAUUGUGUGGUACCCAGUGACCUUACGAUGACAUUUCACUACCUACGAAAAAUGGCGCCAUCUGAAUGUUUAGUCUUUACCUAGAAGUAUAAGAAGGGGUUUCUUGCCUGGGAAUGAUCCUGUGAAGCUGAGGUCACAGUUUAUCUUCUCAAUUAGGGCAGGGAUUAGUACAACAGAAGGUCAUUCGUCAAGAAAAAGGAAAGCUUCUCCCUUUCCAAAAAUGCAAGUAGUGAAACUUACAUUUCUCACUUUUCCCUGAUUGCUCAGAACUAAAUAUAAAAUUUAAUUGGCAAGUAUUUUAGCACUUAUUUUUAACAUAUUUUCUUUUGGUCAUAAUUUUUAAUUUUAUUAACCUUACUGAUUUGACAG